AGAGGAUGCUUCACCAGCACGCAGGGUGACAAGAGGGAGGGAAGCCCAGCCAGGAUGAAUUGGUUUU